CACCAAGACCGCCAACACCAACACCAAUGCCAUCAAUACCAACACCAAGGCCACCGACACCACCACUAAGACCAUCAAAAUCGACACCACUAACAACAGCCACCAAUAAUACGACAAAUACCAUCCAACAAUACCACGACCAGGAGUUUACAAACCGAACCGCUAAGUCAAACCGAACAGAUGAAUCAAACCAAAUCGAGGGAAAAAUCGACUUAUGAUUUGGUUUGAUUAAUUUGGUGUUGGAA
rnacentral:lncRNA from 1 species